UCUGCUCCGGGACUUGGAACAAAAGGGGGAACUCUGAUGAACUCUCUUUCCUCCCCUCUCCCCCGGACGCCGGGGUAUCUCCCUCUCGCAACUUUGCCGCCCCGACUUUCUCUGCUGUCAGGCCGGGAAAAAGUGUCCGAACGCCUCGUGGACUGCAGCGGGGGAAAUGUCCCUUAAAAGUGCGACGAAGUGGGGAAGAAGGUGUAAUUACUAUUAUCAGCAUCUAGAAAGCAUCAUGAAUUUGCUGGAGUACUUCCUAGCACUGACCUCCUUCAUUCUGCGUUGUUCUUACUGGAUCUUUCCAUCAGCCAACAAUAUGGAAGUACCAAUACAAGGUCAAAUCAUUCCUGGAUUCAUCUGGAGUUGCUUAAAAGUUAAAUCAUUGGAAUUUUUGAUGAUACCUUUUCUAUAUGGAUUACAAUUUGAUCGCUGGGAAUUCUCCACCUUAAAGAAGAAUCUCGAAGUCUUGGAGUCUCACUCUGUUGCCCAGGCUGGAGUACAGUGGCGUAAUCUUGGAUCACUGCAACCUCUGCCUCCCGGGUUCAAGUGAUUCUUCUACCUCAGCCUCCUAAGUAGCUGGGAUUACAGGUGUGUUCCACUACGUCUAGCUAAUUCUUGUAUUUUUAGUAUUGACAGGGUUUCACUAUGUUUGUCAGGCUAGUCGUGAACUCCUGACCUUGUGAUCCGCCAGGCCUCCCAAAGUGCUGGGAUUACAGACAUGAGCCACCACACCCGGCCAAAAUGGGGAAGGCAGUUACCAACCCCUGUGGACAGGAAUCGCUUUUGAAGGUAGGGCUGAGGUGAUCAUCAACCAAGUUGUAAAGAUCAAAACUGACCAGCCUGCCGGAGACUACCUAACCCUGUUCCUGUUUCUGCCGUAUCAAGUGAGGACUUUCUGUUCCCUCUGGCGAUGCUACUCUGUGUGACUCAUGAUUCCACGUAGGCUUGAAGGAAUGGUCUUUAUUCAGUGCCUGUUAGGUGUGAAGCAAGGUAUUAGAAAUUGUAUAUACAUUAUCACAUUGAUGUAUCACAAUCAUCUGCUGGAGGUGGUAUUAUCCCUAAUUUUUAGACAAAAAAAGUGAGAUUCUGAGAGGGAAAGUGUAGUCUCCAAGCUCACACGUGUAGCAGUUCAGAGAAUUCAAACCCAGAUCUCUGUUUUUGAACUCCUUGACCUUGUCUUUAUAAUGUCAUUGCCUCAAAUUUUGUAUCCACCCAAGCUAAAUGGAAGGAAGAAUUUAGUACCUUAGACUUGGUAUAUUGUUUUUCAGGGGAAAUAAGUAUAAGAAAUAGGAUUUCGUUUGGCAUGGAGUAUUUCAUUCAUAUAUGAGAUUUUUAGUGGGAACCCACUUGGUGCUAGACGUUGUUUGUAGGCAUUGGUGAGCCAUAUCUCUGUGCAAGACAGGCGUAGUCCUUGCUCUCAGGGAAUAAUAAAUUAUGCCAUAGCUGUGUAAACCCACUUCGUCUGCAUGCAGAAAUUUAUUUGAAACUGAAUUAAGGACAACAAUCAAGCUUUUAACUAUUUCUCUGUUACUUUCAUCACCAUCAGCUGUGGUCCGGUUUAGCGGAAGCAAAAUAGACAAAUUCAGUAAAAUGUCUUUCUGUGGAGAACUCCCAAAAUGAAUACGCUGAGCCGGGCACGGUGGCUCAUGCCUGUAUUCCCAGCACUUUGGGAGGCCGAAGCCGGCUGAUCACGAGGUCAGCAGUUCGAGACCAGCCUGGCCAACAUGGUGAAACCCCAUCUCUACUAAAAAUACAAAAAUUAGCCAGGUGUGGUGGCACGCACCUGUAAUCCCAGCUACUCGGAAGGCUGGGGCAGGAGAAUCUCUUGAACCCGGGAGGCAGAGGUUGCAGUGAACUGAGAUCGUGCCACUGAACUCCAGCCUGGGCGACAGGGUGAGACUCCGUCUCAAAAAAUAAAUAAAUAAAAAUAAAAAUAAAUACACUGAGUCUCAUGAUCUGAGAGAGUUAAUGUUCUGUAAAGUUGCUGUGAACACUGAAUUAGCAAAUACUGAACCAUUGCUCCUAGGGAAAAUACAGGGUUAGGUUCCUGAGAGCCUCUGGCUGCAAGAUUUUCAUCAAUGAACACAUAUGCUUAUUUUAUGUGUUUUAUUUAGCAUGUAUUUUAUUUAAUAUGUUUUAUUUGUAUUUUAAAAUAUAUUUACAUUUAGAUUUGAUACAUAUAUUUAAUAUAUGUGUAAUUUAAUGUAUAUUAUUGGUUCAUUAACAUUAAACUCAUGGCUAAUAGUGCUACAACUCAUGCCUAAGUGAAGCUUAGCAAACACGUGCCUUUUCUCUGCAAGGUACAUCACAGACUUCUUGCGCUUAGUAACACUAGAUAUUAAUAGCAUUUCAGCCCUCCAUCUGGGGGGCAUUGCAAACAGUGAAAUCACCAACAAAAAGCAUAAAAAUGCAAAGAACAUGGCAUUAAA
rnacentral:lncRNA from 1 species